GGAACUGUGCCCGAACGCUCAGGGACCACUUUGAUAGAGUGCCAUACGAGGGUUAAAAUCCCUCCAGCUCCU
rnacentral:tRNA from 1 species